UACAGAGGGGGCAAGCGUUGUUCGGAAUUACUGGGCGUAAAGGGCGCGUAGGCGGCCUUCUAAGUCGAACGUGAAAUCCCUGGGCUCAACCCAGGAACUGCGUCCGAUACUGGGAGGCUUGAAUCCGGGAGAGGGAAGCGGAAUUCCAGGUGUAGCGGUGAAAUGCGCAGAUAUCAGGAGGAACACCAAUGGCGAAGGCAGCUCGCUGGGACGGUACUGACGCUGAGACGCGAAAGCGUGGGGAGCAAACAGG
rnacentral:rRNA from 1 species